UCGCCGGCGAUGGCGCCGCCGUAUACGGUGGCCGGAGAAGUAAAAAAAAGGCCCGUUUUGUCCCCUUUUUCGAGUACGGGUCGUAUUUGGGGUCAGAAAAGUCGAGAUCUAGGCGAAAGAUGGCCGAAAUCGGAAGAGACCUUUCGGUUCUUCCUCUCCGUCAGUGCGAAAAAUAGGUAAAAACCCCUUUUUUGUUUUUAUUCUAUAUCUUCUUAUAUAUAUGUAUAUAUAUGAUUUAAUAAAACAAAAGAAGAAAGAACCCACUUAGAAAACAGAAAUAAAAUGAAAGUAGGAAAAAAGGAAAUCGGAAAAACUAAAGAAAAUCACCUUUAAAAAACUUUUUAUUAUUUCUUCCAAUUUUUUUUUCAAAAGCCCCUUACAAAGCUAAUAUUCGGCUAUUUAUAGCCCAUUACAUCCAUUUUUUUUACAAUUUUUCUACUGUUAUUGUACUUGUUGUUGCGUGUGCUCUUCCUUGUAGGUGCUAGAGGAGUUGGUGGUGGUGGUUGCGGCGGUAGCAGGGAGCAGGUAGUGAUGUUGGUGGCUGCGGCGCUAGGCUAGGGUUUCAGUUCUGAAACCCUAGUUUGACCAUUGAGGCUGGGACUUUGGGCUUUGGAUCAGUUGGGCUGUUAUGGGUUUAAUUUGUUUUGGGUUUGUUAAUAGUUUGGGUUUGUAUUGGUUUUGGGCCCAGAAAAAUUUGGGCUGUACAAAAAUUUUCUAACUAUUUGUUUUAUAUAAAAAUAAAUUUUAAC
rnacentral:lncRNA from 1 species